AAACAGGAAGCACACGCUGCUCUAACAGCCAAGCAGCUGGUGGGGGGGAGGAAGUGAGGAGGAAGGCUGGUUCGUGAACCAGCUCGUUCUGGGUGCAGUUAUUGUUCUCAGCGGCCUCCACUGAAGAAACCAGCAACCUUCUAAGAAAGAGGUCUUCAGUCCUCCUGGAGCCCACUCUGAACAGCGAGGAAGUUGCUCCCAGCCCUCAGAUGCAACCCAGGGGAGCUCUGGAGUUGAGAUGGAUUUUCAGAGCUGUCCUGCCUGAAGCAAGGGGGCUAGGCAGCUGGAGACGGCUCCUCGGAGGAUGGAUCUGAAGGAUGGGAACGACAGGAAAACAGGAGGGAAGAA